AUUGAACGCUGGCGGCAGGCCUAACACAUGCAAGUCGAGCGGAUCGGCGGUCGGGUGAGGAAUGCUAAGGAAUCUGCAAGGUAGUGGGGGAUAACGACCGGAAACGGGAGAGAAUACCACAUCCUAUCGGAUGAGCCUAGGUCGGAUUAGCUAGUAGGUGGGGUAAAGGCACACAAAGGCGACGAUCCGUAACUGGUCUGAGAGGAUGAUCAGUCACACUGGAACGGAGACACGGUCCAGACUCCUGCGGGAGGCAGCAGUGGGGAAUAUUGGACAAUGGGCGAAAGCCUUAUGCAGCCAUGCCGCGUGUGUGAAGAAGGUCUUCGGAUUGUAAAGCACUUUAAGUGGGGAGGCGUGACCAGCAGAAUAAGCACCGGCUAACUUCGUGCCAGCAGCCGCGGUAAUAC
rnacentral:rRNA from 1 species